rfam:Xenorhabdus bovienii SS-2004 chromosome, complete genome
GUGAGUUGCUGAAUUAGAGAUCGGCACUCAUGAUUUUUAAUCUAUAUUUGGAGUUAUACUAUGUCUCUAAGCACUGAAGCAAAAGCGCAAAUCGUUGCUGAGUUUGGCCGUGGCACU